AAAGACUGGGAACAGGCAGUGCAUGGAUGGGGCUACUAACAGAAAACAUCUGUUUUGGCUCUACCCCUGCACUGCCUCUUCCCUGGCUUCCG
rnacentral:pre_miRNA from 1 species